rnacentral:lncRNA from 1 species
UGGGGUAGAGUCCAGUGUAUGGGUAGAGUCCAGUGUGUGGGUAGAGUCCAGUGUGUGGGUAGAGUCCAGUGUGUGGGUAGAGUCCAGUGCGUGGGUAGAUCACAGUGUGUGGGUAGAGUCCAGUGUGUGGGUAGAGUCCAGUGUAUGGGUAGAGUCCAGUGUGUGGGUAGAGUCCAGUGUGUUGGGUAGAAUCCAGUGUGUGGGUAGAGUCCAGUGUAUGGGUAGAGUCCAGUGUGUGGGUAGAGUCCAGUGUAUGGGUAGAGUCCAGUGUGUGGGUAGAGUCCUGUCUGUUGG